ACCACAAUCAACCAGCAUGGUAAAAAUGAUCCCUGCUCAGAGUGCCUUGGAAAUAUUUUUUUGCAGAGAGAGAAGCUAGCGGGGAAGGAACCUCUUCCACUUUGGAAGAUGAAGAAUUUUCUGAAUAUGAGGAUCAUGUCUCUGUCAAUUCGGAGUCUGACAGUGAGUUGGAAGAAGAGGAUGAGAUUUACCCUUAGUCAGCCCCAGGACCAGCCCGUCAGCAGCUACCCCCAGGACCAGCACGUUAGCAACCAGCUCAUCAGCAGCCUGCAAGAGGAGAAAUAUGGCUGUCAAAAUUGUGAAAUUGAAUGGUCUUCUUGCCCAAGGAAUGAGACUACAUAGCUACUAAUGUGAUAAGGAUGCAACCAGGACCGACGCAGAUGGCAGUUACUCAUGUGCAGGACAUGAAGUAUUUUUUUGAACUGUUCAUCCGAGACACCAUCCAGAAAAUCAUUCUGGACUGCACUAAUUUGGAGGAAAGGCGUGUUUUUGGAGAGCGAUGGGGUUCUUUGGGGUUCUUCUCCUUGCUGAGGUUUUCAGAUCCAACGAGGAAUCCACAGAAUCCCUGUGGGAUGCAGAAACUGUCAGAGAACUCCUUCCAUGCAACAAUGUCUCUGGAAAACUUCCACAUUAUUUCCAGGAUUAUCCGCUUCGAUAACCGAGACACCAGACCAGCUCGGCGGCAGACAGACAAGCUAGCUGCAAUCAGGUCAGUGUGGGACAAGUGGGUGGACCGCCUUCCCCUGUUUUACAACCCUGGGCCCAACAUUACUGUUGAUGAGCAGCUUAUGCCAUUUAGGGGCCGCUGCCCCUUCAGGCAGUACAUACCGUCUAAACCCGCAAAAUAUUGAAUCAAGAUCUGGUCCUGCCUGUGAUGCUGCAUAUAUGGGGAAGCCAGAUGGAGGAGCCCCUGAGAAGAACCAAUGGAUGUGGGUUGUACUGGACGUGACACAGGGACUCCGUGGCCACAACAUCAUUCAAUAACUGUUUUACUUCGCGCAAGCUGGGACAGGAGCUCCUCAAGAGGAAGAUGACGAUGGUAGAAACAGUAUGAAAAACAAGCCAGAGCUCCCACCUCAGCUGUUGAAUACACAGAACAGGCCUAUCAAUUCCUCUAAGUUUGUGUUCACAGCCGACACGUCUCUAGUGUCCUACGUGCCAAAUAAAGGCUAAAAUGUGGUACUCAUGAGUACGCUGCGUAGGGAUGAGAGAAUCUGUGGCCAGGAACAUCAAAAAUCAGAAAUCAUAAUGCAUAACAAUGCCACAAAAGGAGAGGUAGACAAUUUAGAUACGCUGGUGACUGACUACAGCUGCAAAAGAGAAACCCUACGUUGGCCACUUGUGAUAUUCUUCAACAUCUUGGACAUCUCGGCGUACAACGUGUUUGUCAUCUGGAUGGCGUUGAACCCAGACUGGAAAAGAGGGAGGCUCCAGAGGAGAUGGCUCUUUCUCGAGGAGCUGGGCAGGACAUUGGUAAGACCUCAAAUCCAGAGGAGGCAACAUAUCCCAAGGACCCCAGCUUCUGCAGCAAUCAUGAGGAGGAUUCAGGAGGAGGAUGAUGGUGUCCCAUCCGCUCGACCCACAGAACCAACAACUCCAAUACCGGAAUUGCAGCCGGUAGCAACACAAGAAGAAGCACUGCGAUGUGUGUGGACCCAAGAAGGACAGGAAGACACAGUACACGUGCAUCAAGUGCAAGAAGUACAUUUGCAACACACACAGUAAAACUCUGUCCCUCAUGUGGUGUGUAGACCUGCCUUAAUUUGUGUUAAAUGGGGCUUUUAUUGAUACAUGUGAUCAAGCAGAGGUAAAUAGCAAAUAUUAACCAUGUAUGCUGUCUAUAUUACUUGUAAUUGAUAUAAGUCAACAUCUAAGUAUUAAGUAUUUUUACGUAAACUGUUAUGGCUGUAUUGUUUUAAAACCCCAAUAAUGUGGUGGGUCCAUCAGACCCGCGAACAUUGGGUGAAUAACAAAAACAUGUACACCAGGCAAGGGUUAACACUAAGGGAAUCUUGAUUCAAACUUUUUUGUCACAGCCAGACCACAAUGCACCAGUAUGACAUUCAAUUCUAGCCAAUAUAUACACGUGCACAACCGUAUCAGCAUUUGUCUGAGAAACAAGAGGCCUGAACAAGCAUUGUGUGUAAUUUUAGUAGAAGGGGGCCAAGAGGACUAAGAUAUUUACAUACAAAUUCUUAAAUCAAUCGGGGAAAGCUCAACGGAUUGGCUAUAAUAUCACACUGCACUACCGUAUGUAGAGUGAGGUUUUUGUAUUGAAAGCAUAUGGCUCCACCCAGUGGUGGAAUUAGGUAAGUAACAUUUUACAAUACUGUGUGGAUGGAAAAAGUGUAAAUUAAUCAUUUUUAAGGAAUACACAGAUAAACACUGACAAACAGUGAAUAUGCUAAUCCACUAUCCACUAUCCAUCAAUAAAAAAAUGCUGCCCAUAUAUUUAUAGAUCAGAUAACAUAAUGCUUUACGGAUUAGUACUGGUACAAUAUAUAAACUAGUCCACAGGGUGGUGCUUUACUAAAGUCUGAUGGCGCUGGGCUGGAACAAAAGCCUUCACACACCACGUCCCUAAAGGACCCGAGGUUACCCAGAGGAAAUACUGUAGUAGGGCUUCCCUUUGCCAUCCUCAUUUGUUUGCACAUCUCACUACAGUCUGCAGAAUCCAAUAGUUCUGAUCAGGAACUAAGACGAGAGCGUUGCGAUGCUGCGUCAGUGGAUACAUCAACAUGACAAAUGGUGCGUGUAGCACAAGCAACCCAGCUACACGCACUGUUGUCGAGAUGUGUUUAUGUCAUGUUAGGUUCUCCAUUAAGGAAUCCUUCUUAGCUCCGAGAGCACGGCCUACACACCGCUCUUCUAACGCUUGUUAAUGAUGUAGUCGGGCAGCUUCUGACACCUUUAUAUGAUAACGUGCUUCUGUUACCAGCUUUUAACGCCUUAACAUGUAGGUUGUACUCUCUGUCUGUACUCCGCUGAGGUGAUUGUUCUCAUACCAAUUUCCCAAUGUUUUUGUUUGAUGAGUAAAAUCAAGCAAAAUCAAAACGAAUAGUUUCAUCACAGGCUGUGUCUGUAACCCAAUGGAUCUAUUUGAAUUAUUUUGAGAAGGAAAUCAUUUUUGCGGGAAAUGAUCAAAUGUAGGCCUACACAUAGAAAUAGAAUGUGCGUCCCCAGAACGUGCGUCCCCAUUCAAGUAAAUGAUGGCAUAAUGGGUGGAUUGGCAGCCAGUUUGAGUGUACCCAUAGGAGCAAAGCAGGAAGUAAAAGCAGGAAGUGUACCCAUCAAUCUGUGCUGUGAUUUCUUGAGUCAACUUUACUGAUAUGACAAAAAAAUACAUUCCAUUGCAUGAGCCACAUCAGUUAACAUCAUUUGAAUGAACAGUCUACGUUACCAUGGAAAUUGUUAUUAUCAUCACAAUACCAGGCAGCCAUUGCGAGUGUUCCUAUAGAUGCGGUAAAGGAGUCAAUGGAACGCAGACCGUUGCAACGACCAGAUUGGCGCACAUUCAACACAUCUGAUCUAACAAAGCGUAUUUGUCACAUUUGUCAUGAUUUAUGUAUUGUAACAGGCUCACAAUGUGGUUACUUAAGUCUGAUUUGGAUAUAUUUGGCGGUUUUCGCUGCAUAACAUUUAGAAGUUGUCCCUUUUCAGGUUUAAAAGAAGUGACUGUUAAAUUCUAACUCCCGUUCGUAUAAGGUGGUUAGCAUAGCUAGCACACAGAAAUGUGGUGGUCAGUCGUUUUGAACUGUAAUUCAGUUGAUUGGCGAUGAUGACAUGAACAUGUGUUGGGGUUGACAUCCAUAAAAGCAUUAUACUCAAGAGUUGUACCUCAACAUAUACACAAUAGCCUAAAUGCAGGCACAUUUUGCUGGUGGGCAAUGAGGAGAUUCGGGAUCUUUACCCCAUGGCCCUUUUCCCCCACCCAUUUCCUUGGCAACUCCAUUGUUUGGUCGAGUUUGAUUUACCACAUCUAUGAGUUUACCAGUCAAAUUGCCACAGUUAAAGGUUCCAAGCCUGUUCUGUUCAUUAUAUUUCUAUGUGCCUACACAUCUACCACCCAUCCCUCCCUCCCUCCACCCCCCUGACCCCAGACUCAACAUGCCACUCUUAGAUCAGGGUUAAUCUCUGCUCAGGAUAUUACUACAGUAUAAAUGAAUAGUGGGAGAGGAGAGCUGGCUAAAAAUAGCGGGAGAUUUGGUCCUGCUUCAAUAGCAGCCAUUGUUCGUUACUUUACAUAAUACCCACUGACGUGAACCCUUAUUGUGCUAACCCAAAGUAACACCAUAAACCAUCUAAUCUAACCGAACACAUCUGUAUUUGUGUCCAUAACGUUCACUUGCAUACAUCCAGUAAAUAUCAUUUAUGACAUGUGUUCAGUAAAUAUAGUUCUAUGCAAUAAUAAGUGGUCACUGUCACGUUCCUGACCUAUUUAUGUUAGUUUUUGUGUGUUAGUUGGUCAGGACGUGAGGUUGGGUGGGCAUUCUAUGUUAUCUGUUUCUAUGUUGGUUUUGGUUUGCCUGGUAUGGCUCUUGAUUAGAGGCAGGUGGUUUGCGUUUGCCUCUAAUUAAGAGUCAUAUUUAGGUAGGGCAUUCUCACUGUUUGUUUGUGGGUGAUUGUCUCCUGUGUCAGUAUGUUUGUUCGUACCACACUGGACUGUAGCGUUUGUUUGUUUCGUUUUCGUUUCGAUGUCGUCUGUUACCUGUACGUAAGUUUAUGUUUAGUUAUGUAAGUUUAUGUUCAGGUCUCGUCAACGUCGUUUUGUUAUUUUGUAGUUUUGCAAGUGUUUGUUUUGUUUCGUGUUGCCAUCUUUAUCGUUGUGUUAAUAAAGAUGGCUUAUUUCCCAAA